AGUGAACGCUGGCGGUAGGCCUAACACAUGCAAGUCGAACGGCAGCACAGUAAGAGCUUGCUCUUACGGGUGGCGAGUGGCGGACGGGUGAGGAAUACAUCGGAAUCUACUUUUUCGUGGGGGAUAACGUAUGGAAACUUACGCUAAUACCGCAUACGACCUACGGGUGAAAGCAGGGGAUCUUCGGACCUUGCGCGAUUGAAUGAGCCGAUGUCGGAUUAGCUAGUUGGCGGGGUAAAGGCCCACCAAGGCGACGAUCCGUAGCUGGUCUGAGAGGAUGAUCAGCCAAACUGGAACUGAGACACGGUCCAGACUCCUACGGGAGGCAGCAGUGGGGAAUAUUGGACAAUGGGCGCAAGCAUGAUCCAGACAUACAGCGUGGGUGAAGAAGGCAUUCGGGUUGUAAAGCCAUUUUGUUGGGAAAGAAAAGCAGCAGGUUAAUACCCCGCUGUUCUGACGGUACCCAAAGAAUAAGCACCGGCUAACUUCGUG
rnacentral:rRNA from 1 species